rnacentral:rRNA from 1 species
GAUGAACGCUGGCGGCGUGCCUAAUACAUGCAAGUCGAGCGAACAGAUGAGGAGCUUGCUCCUCUGACGUUAGCGGCGGACGGGUGAGUAACACGUGGAUAACCUACCUAUAAGACUGGGAUAACUUCGGGAAACCGGAGCUAAUACCGGAUAAUAUAUUGAACCGCAUGGUUCAAUAGUGGAAGACGGUUUUGCUGUCACUUAUAGAUGGAUCCGCGCCGCAUUAGCUAGUUGGUAAGGUAACGGCUUACCAAGGCAACGAUGCGUAGCCGACCUGAGAGGGUGAUCGGCCACACUGGAACUGAGACACGGUCCAGACUCCUACGGGAGGCAGCAGUAGGGAAUCUUCCGCAAUGGGCGAAAGCCUGACGGAGCAACGCCGCGUGAGUGAUGAAGGUCUUCGGAUCGUAAAACUCUGUUAUUGGGGAAGAACAAAUGUGUAAGUAACUAUGCACGUCUUGACGGUACCUAAUCAGAAAGCCACGGCUAACUACGUG